rnacentral:lncRNA from 10 species
CUGGGAGCUCUUUUCGUCCAAAGGGGCUGGAGCUCCAGUUAGCCAAGGUGAGGGCGUGGAGGAUUCCUGGGGGAAGCUUCGUGCUGCAAGGUGGAAAAGACAGAUAACAAGAGAAAAACAGAAGCUUAAUAGCAUGUAUACCUUGGUCUGCAAGGGACGGACUCGGGACAGGCUAUGUCGCAAAGGCGUGGCUUGGAGCUCAGCCUUAAAGACCAUGUUCGACGGAAACAAAGAGAAAGAGUGUGUGGGGAGGGGCCCAAGAAAUUACCCCAAAC